AGUUUUUCUUGUUUGUUUUAAAUUCCAUUGAAACCAUGGCAGCAAGGGCAGUGGAAGGAAAGAACAAAGAAGCUGGAGAAGAUGGAGUCCUUUUAUAGCUGAGUUUAGGGGGCAGGUGGGAAUACGCUGAAGCAGAAGCACCAAAGUUAGAAGGAGAUCUUCUAAGGUGUAGAGAAACAGAAAGAACAUCUUCUGAAGGAGGGGCAGGAUCUGCAUACUGAAGUUGGGGCUUAAUUUGAUGAAGUUUAUAUCUUGGAUGACCCAUGAAGAUUCACCCAUGAGUACCUAAACUGAG